rnacentral:rRNA from 1 species
UACGUAGGGUGCGAGCGUUGUCCGGAAUUACUGGGCGUAAAGAGCUCGUAGGUGGUUUGUCGCGUUGUUCGUGAAAACUCACAGCUUAACUGUGGGCGUGCGGGCGAUACGGGCAGACUGGAGUACUGCAGGGGAGACUGGAAUUCCUGGUGUAGCGGUGGAAUGCGCAGAUAUCAGGAGGAACACCGGUGGCGAAGGCGGGUCUCUGGGCCGAGUAACUGACGCUGAGGAGCGAAAGCGUGGGGGAGCGAACAGG